CAGGGUAUCUGAUAUGAAACUCCCCCAAAGGAGUCAAGACCCACAGGCUGAGAACCAUUGGAAUGGAACUCAUAGAAAGAGAAAGAUCUAGGCUCACUUUCCUAUGCUUGGAACACCUGGGCUCAUGCCUCUUUCUAUCCUGAUACACAUCAGUGCCAUGGACCAGACUAGAAAGGCAACUUCUAUUCUCCAUUCCUCAACUCUACCUCAGGCAGAGGCCGGCUGCCUGGGAAAGGAUGUGACCAUAAGAGAGACAGCUAUCUUCAGUGGGGACCUGGUGGAGGAGCUGUCACCACUUCAAGCCAUUGUGUUACAGGGUGGAGUUCCUGAACUUCCUGGCAAUCUGAAUCCACUUCUGAGUCUUUAAUCUCAGGCCCUGGUGGGAUGACUCAAGCCUGGCUUCUCUGGAACAGGUCCUACAGAGCAAGACACUGCUCGAGAGCCAGAGCUAGUGAGCAGCAGGGGCUGGAACAGAACCCUGGCUGCUUGGAGUCCAAUAUCCCAUCUUUCCUGCAGUGGGGAGGGAUAGGAGAAUGCUGAGCUGUACAACAUCUGCUUUCACAGCUGCUCACCACUGUGUUCUCCGUGCAACUGGGGACAGAAUGGCAUCUGACAAGCAGACGCACUGGGAGCAUGGGAUAAUGUGUAGAUCUUGGGGUGAAGGUAAUA